rnacentral:sRNA from 1 species
GUGUCGGCAAAAUCCGACAUCGGGAUUAGCAGCCCGUUAUCGUCCAAAGGCGCACAAGUCGCCGUCAGCGGCUUUUUU